rnacentral:rRNA from 1 species
GACGUAGGGGGCGAGCGUUGUCCGGAUUUAUUGGGCGUAAAGCGUGCGUAGGCGGCUGCGCAAGUCGGGUGUGAAACCCCGGGGCUCAACCCCGGAACUGCAUCCGAUACUGCGUGGCUAGAGGUAGGUAGGGGAGAUCGGAAUUCCUGGUGUAGCGGUGAAAUGCGCAGAUAUCAGGAGGAACACCGGUGGCGAAGGCGGAUCCCUGGGCCUUACCUGACGCUCAGGCACGAAAGCUAGGGGAGCGAACAGG